CCGUUCAUCUUUCCCUUGAUUCUGACUAGGGAUGAAACGGGUACCGGUUUCACGAUAAACCACAGCAAAAUUCCUGACGGUUUGUAUUACCGUUUCAAAUUGUAAUUAUCAUUAAAACCGUGUGUGAUUACCGCGGUUUGAAAAACUCACGGUAAAUACUGUCCAGCAUCAACCAAAGUUAUCAACAGUCUGACGCAGGCGCUGCAUGGGUUUUGUUUUGUGUGAAAACAUGGCGGAAGGCAGUGACAGCGCUCGUGAGAUUUUUCAGCCUUCUAGGAGGACCAAAUCUGAAGUGUGGUCAUAUUUUGGGUUUUACAAGAGUGCCGAGGGAAACUUAAUCAAAGAUGGUCACCCUGUCUACAGAACAUACAAAAAUCGCUGCGAAAGGCGACAACACUUGAGUCGUCUUCGUGACCACCACUUUAUAGCGAAUUCAAGAGUGGGCGUGCAGCAGGCAAACCCAGUGAUGCUAUUGGUCCCUCAUCUACAAUUGUGACAGACACUCGAGCAAGCAUUUAAAAUGGCAGGCUGCUUAUGCACCCACAUCAAAAAAAGCUCAAGACCUCACGGCAGCCCUUUCAUAUUACAUUGCAAAGGACAUGAUGCCAUUUCAAAUUGUUGAGAGGCCUGGCUUUCUGAGGCUAAUGAAGGUUGCCAUGCCUCACUACAAAGUGCCAUCACAAACAUUAUUUUCCAAGACUGAAAUCCCAAACCUGUACAACCAGGUUAAAGCUGAUGUUGGAAAAAGUUUGGCUCAAGGUUUGCUGCAACUACUGACCUCUGGACCAGUGAAAGCAGGGGUGGUCAACCCUACAUCAGCUUCACUAUCCAUUACCUCACCCCAGACUGGCAACUGGAAUCCAACUGCCUGGAGAAACAGGGAUCAACAAGAAAGACCUGGACUGCAUAACCACAGACAACGCAACCAACAUGAUCAAGGCUUUUGAAGAGUUCCCAGAUCUGUGGCUUGGGUGCUUUGGCCAUAAUUUGAACCUGGCCAUCUCAAAGGCUCUGCAAAUUCAGAGAGUUGACACAGCAGUCAAGGCCUGCCGUAAUCUGGUCCAAGGCUUCUCACGGAGCUGGAAGAGAAGGAGUGAACUGAGAGAAAAGCAAGCUGCCCUCAACAUGCCACAGAAGGCUUUGAUCCAUGAUGUGGUGACCCGAUGGGGUCUACACACAAGAUGCUUGAGCGUUUCCUCAGCCAACAACAGCCAGUCUGUGCGACACUGGCUGGAGAAAGAGGAACACGGCAUCUGAUGGCCAAGGAUGCCGACAUAAGUGUCAUGGAGCAACUGUGCCAGCUCCUUGAACCUCUAAGCAAGUUUACAUAUGCACUUGCCUCAGAGACACGAGUGACACGGUCAGCCAUCAAGCCUGUCCUGGACCACAUCACCCGUGAUGUUCUGGUGGAAAAGGAUACGGAGCCAUCCCUGACCAAGGGGAUAAAAAGGGUAAUGAAAGAAGACCUUAUCAACAGAUACACAGAGAAGGCAAAGAGAGUCAUGCACAUGGCUUGUUUCAUUGACCCCCACUUCAAAAUGAGCUUGAGGCUGCAAAAGUUGACACUGACAGCUGUGUCCAGGAGGCCUUGAAGCUGGCAGUUGCACAAGUCAGGGAAGAACCACAAAGCACCAGCAGCACCUCCACCACCAACACCCCCACAGCGGCAUCGGAGGGGAAGGCCUGGCUGGGUUGCUGAGAAAGAUCACCUCAACAAGGCAGCAGAGAGGUGAAGAGGGUCAGAUUCCGACCACCCCAGAAGAGCAUGAAAGAAGAGAUCAAGGUCUACCUGUCUCUGCCACCCAAUCCAGCAGAAGAGGAUCCACUGGUGUGAGGGAGGGGCCAUGCAUCAGAGCUGCCUCACCUUGCCAGGGUUGCCAGGAAGAUUUUGUGCAUCCCAGCAACCAACAUGCCUUCGGAGAGAGUUUUACAUUUUAAUCUCAAGUGAACAGAGAUGCGUACAUACAGGAUGUUAGGCCAGCAGCACCUUAUUUCUUUAUGAAGGAGAGAACGGACAUACAAUCAGUGCUGUUCAUUUGAUUUGUUUACAUAUGGUUGUAUUGUUCUUACAUGCACAUUGCUUUACUUGUGUUGCUUUUAUAUGCGCAUUUGAUUUGCUUACUUAAGGUUGUGUUCAUUAAAACCUGCACUAGGGAAACUUUUACCUCAUGGCCACAUGGUGCCAUUUUUAAUGUUAAUAUUAUUAUUUUAAUGUUUAUGCAGACAAAAAGUGCCUAGUGCUGCUAAUUAUAUUUGCUGUUUGUUGGUUUUCAAUAUAAAACUUGGUGAAAUUA